rnacentral:lncRNA from 1 species
GCCGAACCUACCAAGUGAUUCCUACAAAAAAUACUUCAAAAACCCAUGUGCAAAUGGAAGAUACAUUGUGUGCUCCAACCAAAGUGCCAUGUAGGCAAGACCAAAUGAAAUUAAACAACGAAAGACCUCCCAUGCAAAGGCAAUUCAUGGCUGGAAUUCAAACAAAGCCAAAGCUCAAAAUGGAAAUCUUCCUAGAAUGAAAAUGAGCAUAUUUUUUGUUUGCCCAAAAGUGGUAAAAAAUUAAUGCAUCAUUCUCUCUCCUUUCUACAAACCAUUUUCGUUUCCUUCACCAACACACACCUUCAUAAUCUUUCUUCCUCUCCUAAAUACCAAGAAUGAGCACCCAAGAGACCCCAUUUGAAGUUGCAACUCCAUUCAAGACAAUAAACCCACACUAUUACUACUUAUACUCAACCCAAUCUUCCAUUUUUUCAAGCUCUUGUGCAAAAAAACGAAAAUAACAUUAUACCAUUCAACUCAACCACUGUCAAGCCCCAAUAACAUCAUCAAAGUCUGGUUCCAAACUAGUUUCAAACAUCAAAACGGAAAUAUGAAGGAAAAAAGCCAAACCCACAACACCCACACAUCAAGUUAAGCUCUAUUCAACCCAAAACUCACAUAGAAUUCCAUUUUCAUCAACCAACCAAAUAAAAUGCAAAGAAAAACGUGAGGAACAACAGCAAUGGAAGAGGAAACGAAAAUCUAAAGUCACUCAAACCCAACAACCACCAUAGAAAAGCAAAGACAAGCUUAAAAACUCAAGCUUUAAACAUCAAAAACAAGCAA